rfam:Triticum aestivum genome assembly, contig: Triticum_aestivum_CS42_TGACv1_scaffold_210936_3AS
GAAAUACUCCCGCCACCCAAAAUUCUUGUCUUAGAUUUGUCUAAAUACGGAUGUAUCAAGUCACGUUUUGGUACUAGAUACAUCCGUAUCUAGACUAAUCUACGACAAAAAAUUUGGGACGGAGGGAGUAUAAG